UGAGUUCCAGGAAAGGCGCAAAGCUACAAAGAGAAACCUUGUCUCAGAAAAACCAAAAAAAAAAAAAAAAAAAGAAAGAAAGAAAGAAACAAAAUCCAGUUUCUGAGAUCGUUUCCCCAGACUGGCUCUACCCUCCCUCAGGACAGGUGGUUGGGGUGCUGUAAUCGAUGACCACAGAUCAGAGAGCUCCCGAACUGCAGUGCGUUCUCCAGUUGUCUGGAAGCAGGGGCAGCAUAGUCAGGUUCUGGCGAGGACCCUCCUGGCCGCACACUGCUGACCUCUGCUGUAGCCUUACACGACGCAAGUGAUCUGGAGCUCUUGGGGCCCAUCCAACAGCACUGUCCCCUUUAUGAAGGCUUUGCCUCCAUGACCCAAUUAGCCUGCCAAAGGCCUUGUCACCUCUUAGUGAUAGGGUGGUAGGAUCUGAGGGCAUAUUCCGUGGUAAUACAGGCAUGGGGAAAAUACCCAAAUUGUCUCCAGUGUUUAAAAAGCCGGAAGCUCCAGUGUUAGCAUGAAUUUGGAAGGCCUCUGCACUUUUUUUUGUUUUGUUUUUUUUGAGACAGGGUUUCUCUGUGUAGCUUUGCACCUUUCCUGGAACUCACUCUGUAGCCCGGGCUGGCCUUGAACUCACAGAGAUCAGCCUGCCUCUGCCUCCCAAGUGCUGGGAUUAAAGGCCUGUGCCACCACCGACCGGCCAACCUCUGCACUUUGGCCUGUAGGUGGAUUGGCCAGCUUCUUCCACCAUCUUUUGUGGGCAUAACCACUGGUCAGGGCUCUCCCAUGGAGUAAGCAGCUGCCUGGAUAAUCUGUGAUGUUACAGAUGAGAAGGCCGUAUUUCUUCAGAUGUCUGCAGAGCUGGUCUCCCUCCUUUCCAACUUGACAGACCCUUGACCGUGCAGGGAGCAGGGAGGUUCACCAGGAUUUUCUAGAAUCCUACCUCAAGAGUGGCUUGAUAGGCCCAGAGCUGCCAUCUUGGACACAAACCCACACCUGGAGAAUUUUCACAAGGGCCACUGGCCCUGAGGUGUUCCUAGAGGAUUUUGGUUGAUCCCUAAGGCCCCUUCUUUUCCUCCUGGUCUCUAAAACUUGGCUGGCUUGCUGGGAUCUUGCCCUAAGUCACUGGAGAGGUGGUUUCACUUAGUAGAGCAGCAGUUCUCAACCUGUGGGCAUCGAAUGAGGGGUUCACGGGUUGGUCACCUAAGACCAUCAGAAAAUGCAUUUACGUUACAGUUCGUGACAGUAGCACAGUUAUGAAGCAGCAACGAGAAUAAUUGUAUGGUUGGGUGGGGUCACCACAACCUGAGGAGCUGUCUUAAAGGGUCACCACAGCAUUAGGUUGGGAACCACUGAACUGGAGUGAUGUGAUGGGGAAGGAAAGAGAUGCCUCACGGCGGUUUCCUUGGGAAACCUGCCGCUUGGCUGGCACCCAUUAUCACCACAGCCUUCUGUGGUUUAUGUGUAGACGAAGUCAGGGACAGAGGAAUGUCUAGUGUGGUAAAGUGGGUUUUUGUUUGGCCUUCUCCAUUCUGAACCAUCUCCUGGAAAUGCACAUCUCAGUGGAGUUCUAGAGUGUUCCUGUGAUAACAGGGAUGACGGAGCACCAGGCUCUGGUGUUCCUUUUUAUCAUCAUUACUGUUGCUGUUAAAGUCACUGAUGUAGAGGAGCCCCGUGAGGGAUUUCCGGGUCUAGUCAGUGUUUUGCCAGUGGGAACACCGGUGUAGGUGGACCUGGAGGAGAAUGUUCCAGUGUAUGCUGGAACACUUCCUUGACACUGACCCAUAGUGAACGUUCUUUCCCUUGGUAGCUGGGGAAUCAGAUUCUGCAAAAAUAACUUCGUGUGCCUGCAGGCUUCUCUGCAAGGAAGGAAUAUAUUAAGAGGGAUUUUGGAGCAGGGAAUGUUCUUUCCAGUCCCAUCUCCUAGGUCUCCCUCAUGUCAAGAUAUACAAAAAAGGAUCUUCCUCAUUUCAUUCAGAGGUGUUGUAUGCCCGCCCUCCCAGCAGAUGGAUAAAAUCCUUCCUUCAUUUGCAAGUGUUUGUAUUUCUUAGAUGUUUUUAUUGUCUGAAAAGGACACCCUGCUGCUGACAGCUGGCUGUUUGUACACUACCCAGAACUUGGCUUCAGCUGUAGUCUAGAAGCUUUCUCUUUAAAAUGAACUUUGUACUUAAGGUGGAAGUAAUGAUGUUUAAGACGAGACUUAAACAAGGGGAGCAGGCUCUGUAGAGCCAGCAGCACUCAGACAACGGUAUGGCAUUUUGUAACUGUUCACACCUGCACUUGCUGGACCAUGUGGAUGGCUGGGAAGUCACUGAACAGAUUCUCAUUCUCUAAGUGCCUGUGUACAUGUGGACGCUGGGGAGGACAACCUCAGGUCUCAUCUUCAAGAAUGCUGUCCCAUCCUUUGAGCCAGGCGGCCAUCAGUAAGGUAGACUGGCUGACUAGGACCUUCCUCUGCUGUCACUGCAAGGCCAGCUCUGGGAUUACAAAUGCAAACCACUGUUCAUGGCUUUUCUAUGUGGGAGCUAGGGGACCCAACUGUGGCCUCAAGGCUUCCAAAGCAAGUGGUGUGCAAACUGUCUUAGGGUUACUAUUGCCGUGUUGAAACGCCAUUGCCACAGCAACUUGAGAAAGAAAGGGUUUAUUUAACUUCGACAUCACAGUUCAUCAAAAGACAUCAGGACAGGCACUCAAACAGGGCAGGAACCUGGAGGCAGGAGCUGAUGCAGAGGUCAUUGAGGGGUGCUGUUUACUGGCAUGCCCUGCCUACUUUCAUACAGAAUCCAGGACCAGCAGCCCAGGGAUGGCACCACCCACAAUAGUCUAGGCCUUCCCCGUCAAUCACUAAUUAGGAAAAUGCACUAUAGGCCUGCCUACAGCCUGAUCUUAUGGAGGUGUUGUCCCAGUUGAGGUUUCCUCCUCCUCCAGUGCCUGACUCCAGCUUGCGUUGUUAUAAACUAGCCAGCACACCCUCUUAGACAGCAGAUUUUUAUUUUUUGGUUUCUCAAGACAAGGGUCUCUCUGUGUAGCCUUGGCUGUCCUGGAACUCUCUCUGUGGAGCAAGCUGUCCUCAAACUCACAGAGAUUGGGCUAUCUCUGCUUCCCCAGUAUUGGGAUUAAAGGCGUGCACCACCCAGCGCCUGCAGGUUUUUUUUUAAAAUGUUGAAAAUUACCUUUUUUCUUUUAGGCGUGUGAGGAGGGGUAAUGGUGUCAUGACACAGGGUCUUGUAUCCUAGAUGGCCUGGAACUUUCCAUCCUCCUUAAGUGCAAGGAUUACAAGGAUACACUAUUAUUACCACCUAUAACUAAGUAACUAGAAGAAGUAUCAUUUUUGUUGUUAUUUUGUGUUGUUUUUUUUUUUUUUGGUUUUGCUUUUAAAAUAAGAUUUCCACUGAAGAUUUCCUUCUAUAUCAAAAAUUUCAGGUAUUAAGUGUCAGAAUCAUGGGGAAUGUCCUCAAGUCUAGGAAGGUAACAGGUUAGGGGAAGAGCACAUUGCUUUGCUGAUCCCGACUGCAUCGUAACCCACACUGCUUAUCUGGGCGGGGUAUUCUAUUUACUUAGGUAGAUCAUUCAUUUAGCUGCAGCUGCUGUUGUUUGAGGAUAGCAGAACUCUUGGGUAAACUGGUAAGCCAAGCAAACAGUCCUUAGAUGUGCUGGGCAGGAACCAGAAGUCUGGCCCAGAGCAAGGGCCAACUCUUGCCUGAAUUCUAACAGUGGACCCCAAGCCUAGGGACAGAUGGCAACCCUGUACACUACCAGAAUUGUAGCUCAGGCUACAGGGAGGAAGGACUGCCGUGAAAUCCUGUCUACAGUCACAGGGAAGCCCUGCUUCACACUUCCAAGGGCAGGAGAUAGCUAAAUAGGGAAAAAAGUCUUCUAAGGACAAGCUCUGGGGCCGUAUUUGUGGCGGGAUGUCCUUUAAAGUAGUAACUAAAGUUCUAUUUCAUACGUUAAUAUUUUGAUGAUCUAAAUUCCAACACUUUUGAGGUAAAGUGGUACUCAAGUUUUCAGCUUACUUGAUGAAUGAACUGUUCUCCCCGCCCCUCCCCUUUCUAUCAGCUUUAUCUUCAAGCCAGGAUGAGGGGAGACUGGGCGAGACUCUUACGCCCCACCCUGCAGUUUGGUCUUGUUGCUUUAUCCAUAUAUGUGGGCCUUUCUCGAGUUUCUGACUACAAACACCACUGGAGUGACGUGAUGGUUGGCCUCAUCCAAGGAGCUGUGGUCGCAGUAUUAGUUGCUGUGUAUGUAUCCGAUUUCUUCAAGGAGAGACAUUCUUAUGCAGAAAGGAAAGAGGACGACUCACAUACGACUCUCCAUGAAACCACCACCUCAAAUGCGUACUCAAGCAAUCACCAGCCUUGAAGGGUAUGGAGGAACUGGUCAGCUUUCUGAAGGAAACCGCUAGAAGAAGGCGGGAGGAUGCAUAUUAUUUUCCGGUGUAUAGGCCAUUGAAGGACUGCUGCUAUACCUCUUGGAUUACCUACUUUACCUGUGUAUAUAACACAACGAGUAUCUAAUAGCCCAAUUUAAAAAAAAAUAUUCAAGCCUUCCCCUAAAAACACUGCCCCACUUGUACAUUUUUUAAUUGAAAGAUGCUAUGUACAAAUGUGUAUGUUACAUGCCUUCUUAGAAUGAUAUCUGAUUUAAAUAUAAUAAAAUGCUUCAAACAAC